ACCUUGCAGCCCACUCGUCUCCUACCCAACGCCGUCCUAGGACCCUCAGGAACCUUAAGUAUCCAUCCAUCCCACUGUGGCUCUCCACACAGCCUGGUGUUAUGAGGUGUGUCCCAUGUUCCAGAACGGAGAUGGAAUGUCAGCCUCCCGAAAGAACCUGUGAUAUGGACACUGUGGGCAAAUAUACCUUGACUGGACCCCUAAUAUGUGCACUGGUGGGUGCUGGAAAUACAACGUGAGCAAGACCAAGACCCUGAUCUGGGGUGGGGACUCACGUUCUCGUGGAGAGAGACAGAUCAUGUUCAGUUAAGCAGCAGUUGACGUUAAGAUAAAGAAAGCAUGGUGGGAGAUGGGCAUGGGAGUAGGGCUGGUCGGCACAGGGAGGUCUCGGGGAAGCAGUGACGCAGGUGAGGGAUAAGCAGGUGGACAACGUGGGGAUGAGCGUCCAGGAUGGGGACCGGACAAAGGACCUGGUGAGCAAGUCAACCGGGGGUUUGAGAAACAGCAAGAGGAAGAGGGAGGGCCAGGCACGAUGGCUCACACCUGUAAUCCCAGAAUGUUUGGAGGCUGAGGCGGGCAAGCCACUUAAGCCCAGGAGUUUGAGACCAGCCUGGGCAAUAUAGUGGGACCUGGUCUCAACAACAACGAUUAACAAUAAAACAAAAAAGAAGAAGAAGAGGGAGGGCAAAGUGUGUAGGUGUUCCAGGCCAAGGUAAGGUUUUUAGCUCUUUUCCCAAGUGGCUUGAGAAGGUUCUGGAGGGCUUGGAACAGAAGAGUGAGCUCAUCGCCCUUCUGACUGGACAGCAUCACUGGGGCUGGUGUGGUGGCGGAAGAGAGCAGACCAUGGUCAGGUCAGGCGAGAGGCCACUGGGGGGCCACGCGACACUGCAGGUCAGAGCAGCAGGCUCAGAGGCCGUGGGAAGGGUGCUGACCGCUUAAUGCCUUUCCUGGAGCUUCCCCAUGCACAUUUGUAUCUUAACAGCUUCCACAAGCCUCCACGUAACAAUGACAAGAACCACAACAAACCCUUUCCCCCCAUGUUACUACAAUUGAUAUCCUGCAAAACUGACUUCUGGAAAGCACAAUUUGGUAAACUCUACUCUUCUUUCAACUCCAUGCAAUUUCAAAUAAUCAGGUUCCCAGGGAGGGUGGUGGCCAAAAUUUCCCUGCGAAGCAUUUUGACUCUGCUCCAUCCCAUCUGCCCCGUGGGUAUCAAUUAGAGCCAUUCCUUGCAGCGGGUCCAGCUGCAUCAACUCAACAUACUCUGUGUGGGGCCGACACCACCCCGUCUCUGCAAUUUAUCUGGAGAGAUGAAUUCAGAGAAUCCGCGAAUGACUCAACGUGAAUCAGAUUUAUUUUAUUGAGGGGAGGUGAUGGCUCGCAAAGACCGCUGUUCCCCACCGGGCGAUUUGGGCCCAGGCCGUUUGCCUCUCAUUCUUCCCCCUCCACGCCUUAUACUGCUGAGGCUGCAGGUGAAUAAAAGA